CGAUGGCAGAUGAUCGCUGGAGAGCCGCAAGGUUCGCCAGAGGAAAGUCCGAACACCAUACGGCAGCAUGCCGCGGAAAACACGCGGGCAGCCCCGACCUAAGUCGGGGUUGACGGAAAGUGUCACAGAAAAGACACCGCCGGUUCUUUGGCAACGAAGCGCAGGCAAGGUUGAAAAGGCGAGGUAAGAGCUCACCGCUCGCGGAGUAAUCUGCGAGGCACGAAAAACCCCAUGUGGUGCAAGACAAAACAGAGGGAGGACCGCCGGUCCGCUGAUCCUCGGGUAUCGUCGCAUCACGAGGCGCGCAAGCGCCCCGGGCGGAUCACGAAAGUGAUCCGAGAUAAAUGAUCAUCGCGGUCCCCGAAUCCUUUCGGGACCGACAGAAUUCGGCUUAUCGCCAUCGAAAU
rnacentral:RNase_P_RNA from 1 species